rnacentral:ribozyme from 1 species
GAGAAACAACACCCAAAAAAAAAAAACCACGCACGCGCGCGAGUGCGAAAAGAUAAUUUUUUUUCUUCUCCUGAAUGCGUGUUUGUUUUCGCUUGCUUCUUCUGGUUUUUUUAAUUUUUUGUUUUGUUUUUUUUUCUCUCUCCAUU